rnacentral:misc_RNA from 1 species
UGGCUCUCGCAUCGAUGAAGAACGCAGCGAAUUGCGAUAAGUAAUGUGAAUUGCAGAAUUCAGUGAAUCAUCGAAUCUUUGAACGCACCUUGCGCCCUCUGGUAUUCCGGAGGGCAUGCCUGUUUGAGUGUCAUGUAGACUCAACCCCCCGGGUUUCUGCCCGGCCGGUUGGACUUGGGCGUCUGCCGUUCAGCGGCUCGCCUCAAAUGCGUUAGCGGAUACGUGCCGGUGAAUCAAGUUCCGUCGGCCACGCCGCUCAGAGCACCCCCUCUUUUGACUCUGGCCUCAAAUCAGGUAGGACUACCCGCUGA